GCGCGCGCUGCGGCGGCCUCGGAGAUGGCGCCCGGCACCGCCCCUUCCGCCCAGCCGGGCGUCGCACGAGGC
rnacentral:miRNA from 1 species